rnacentral:rRNA from 1 species
GCAUAUCAAUAAGCGGAGGAAAAGAAACCAACUGGGAUUACCUUAGUAACGGCGAGUGAAGCGGUAAAAGCUCAAAUUUGAAAUCUGGUACUUUCAGUGCCCGAGUUGUAAUUUGUAGAAUUUGUCUUUGAUUAGGUCCUUGUCUAUGUUCCUUGGAACAGGACGUCAUAGAGGGUGAGAAUCCCGUUUGGCGAGGAUACCUUUUCUCUGUAAGACUUUUUCGAAGAGUCGAGUUGUUUGGGAAUA